GCUCGUAGUCAGAACUGCCUGCAAAGGCGUACGAACAUCUGUUCGUUCACUGUGAACAAAUCAGGACGCUUAGUGUAUGGUUUUAGGAAUGACUUAGCGCAGUAUGAUAUCUUUACCUUUGGUAAGAUCAAUGAGAGCCACCGGGGGUAGAUCUAUUUCAUGGCGAACGGUGGAAUGUUUUGACCCAUGAGAGAGAAACGAAGGCGAAAGCAUCUACCUAGAGGGUUUCUGUCGAUCAAGGGCGAGAGUAGGAGUAUCCAACCGGAUCAGAGACCCGGGUAGUUCCUACCUUAAACGAUGCCGACAGGGGCUUGUCCUUUUAUGAGGGCAGGACCUUAGGAGAAAUCAUAGUUCUUGGGCUCUGGGGGAACUACGACCGCAAGGCUGAAACUUGAAGGAAUUGACGGAAGGGCACACCAGGGGUGGAGCUUGUGGCUUAAUUUGAAUCAACACGGGGAAACUUACCAGGACCAGAUGUUUUUAAUGACUGACAGGCUUCGGGUCUUUCAGGAUAUGACUUUUGGUGGUGCAUGGCCGUUGGUGGUGCGUGGGUUGACCUGUCAAGCGUUGAUUCAGAUAACGAGCGAGAUUAUCGCCAAUUAAAUACUCGUUUCUGUUUACAGAGAUAGAGUUCUAAUUGGG
rnacentral:rRNA from 1 species